GAUGAACGCUGGCGGCGUGCCUAAUACAUGCAAGUCGAGCGAAGCGGGGACGGGUGAGCAACACGUGGAUAACCUCCUAUAAGACUGGGAUAACUUCGGGAAACCGGAGCUAAACCGGAUACUUAUACAUUGAUCAGUGCUCCAUUAGCUAGUUGGUAAGGUAACGGCUUACCAAGGCAACGAUGCAUAGCCGACCUGAGAGGGUGAUCGGCCACACUGGAACUGAGACACGGUCCAGACUCCUACGGGAGGCAGCAGUAGGGAAUCUUCCGCAAUGGGCGAAAGCCUGACGGAGCAACGCCGCGUGAGUGAAGAAGGUUUUCGGAUCGUAAAGCUCUGUUGUUAGGGAAGCGGUAUCUAACCAGAAAGCAACGGCUAACUACGUGCCAGCAGCCGCGGUAAUUC
rnacentral:rRNA from 1 species